rnacentral:sRNA from 1 species
CCAUUUAAAAUCUACAAACUCAAGUCUAAAAGAUUGUUGUCUACAGUUAGCUAAACCAAAAAACAGAACCAACACCAAAAACAAAUUAACCUAAUGAAAAUUACAUUCUAAAUUAAACCAGGUUCAGAUUGUUGUUGUCUUCACUUGAGAUUCUUGUGCAGUGGAAGGUCAUUUGGAUUAUGUGUAGGUUUGGGAUUUGGCUCGAGUGAUCUCUACAUGUGGUGAGUUUGUAAGAAAAUGAAGUUCGGGAAUCGAAAAAAACGCUUCAUAAACCCAGUAAAGCUACAAGAGAUGGAUGUUACAACUAAAUAACACUUGCACUUGAAAACUAAACAAAGUUUUUAUACAAAGAGUGCCACAAGUGGAGUGGUGGUAUACACAGAGUAAAAAUGAGACAAUGUAAACAAGAGAAGGCCAGUCAAGCUAGACGAGUGGAUCUGUCAAAGGCCUCAAUGACUUGAUAACCAUAUCUAUGCUUACACAAAUGAAUACUGCGGGUGACGAGGACGGAGGUGAGACUGUGCGGAAGAUCAAUACCGGUGCGUUUAAAACCCCAAAUGAGACGCUGAACUACAUAGUUCCCAACACGAUCUUUCACCAAAUUCUCAAAGUAACUAUCAAACUCAGAGGCAAUCAACGUAAGACACCUUUCAUCAAGCAUAUCAAGAAACUUCUGCACAGGGUAAUUAGAGAAGGAGCCUGAUGAAAGGGACACAAAGUGACCAGAGAACUUGUUUACCCUUUCUUAUCAAAGGCAGCUAUCAAGCAAUCAUUACCAAACAUGGAGAGCAAAAGUGAACCAGCAUGAUGUAUAAGCAGUAAUAGGUUCUUGUUACCAAUCUCAUUACGGGAGAGUUCAACAAAAGUUGCACCAACUUGAAUCAGGAACUUGAACAAAAGUUGCACCAUUCUCAUAUUGACUUGAUUUAAAU